AUACGUAGGGUGCGAGCGUUAAUCGGAAUUACUGGGCGUAAAGCGUGCGCAGGCGGAUUGUUAAGCAAGAUGUGAAAUCCCCGGGCUUAACCUGGGAAUGGCAUUUUGAACUGGCAGUCUAGAGUGCGUCAGAGGGGGGUGGAAUUCCACGUGUAGCAGUGAAAUGCGUAGAGAUGUGGAGGAACACCAAUGGCGAAGGCAGCCCCCUGGGAUGACACUGACGCUGAGGCACGAAAGCGUGGGGAGC
rnacentral:rRNA from 1 species